AUUGAGCGCUAGCGGGAUGCUCUACACAUGCAAGUCGAACGGCAGCGCGGACUUCGGUCUGGCGGCGAGUGGCGAACGGGUGAGUAAUGUAUCGGAACGUGCCCAGUAGCGGGGGAUAACUACGCGAAAGCGUAGCUAAUACCGCAUACGCCCUACGGGGGAAAGCAGGGGAUCGUAAGACCUUGCACUAUUGGAGCGGCCGAUAUCGGAUUAGCUAGUUGGUGAGGUAACGGCUCACCAAGGCGACGAUCCGUAGCUGGUUUGAGAGGACGACCAGCCACACUGGGACUGAGACACGGCCCAGACUCCUACGGGAGGCAGCAGUGGGGAAUUUUGGACAAUGGGGGCAACCCUGAUCCAGCCAUCCCGCGUGUGCGAUGAAGGCCUUCGGGUUGUAAAGCACUUUUGGCAGGAAAGAAACGUCGCGGGCUAAUACCCCGUGGAACUGACGGUACCUGCAGAAUAAGCACCGGCUAACUACGUG
rnacentral:rRNA from 1 species